rnacentral:rRNA from 1 species
AUUGAACGCUGGCGGCAUGCUUUACACAUGCAAGUCGAACGGUAACAGGCCGCAAGGUGCUGACGAGUGGCGAACGGGUGAGUAAUGCAUCGGAACGUGCCCAGUCGUGGGGGAUAACGCAGCGAAAGCUGCGCUAAUACCGCAUACGAUCUAUGGAUGAAAGCGGGGGACCGUAAGGCCUCGCGCGAUUGGAGCGGCCGAUGUCCGAUUAGGUAGUUGGUGGGGUAAAGGCCUACCAAGCCAACGGUCUGUACCUGGUCUGAGAGGACGACCAGCCACACUGGGACGGAGACACGGCCCAGACUCCUACGGGAGGCAGCAGUGGGGAAUUUUGGACAAUGGGCGCAAGCCUGAUCCAGCAAUGCCGCGUGCAGGAAGAAGGCCUUCGGGUUGUAAACUGCUUUUGUACGGAACGAAACGGUCCGGGUUAAUACCCUGGGCUAAUGACGGUACCGUAAGAAUAAGCACCGGCUAACUACGUGCCAGCCGCCGCGGUAACAC